GGCGAACGCUGGCGGCGUGCUUAACACAUGCAAGUCGAACGGAAAGGCCCUGCUUUUGUGGGGUGCUCGAGUGGCGAACGGGUGAGUAACACGUGAGUAACCUGCCCUUGACUUUGGGAUAACUUCAGGAAACUGGGGCUAAUACCGGAUAGGAGCUCCUGCUGCAUGGUGGGGGUUGGAAAGUUUCGGCGGUUGGGGAUGGACUCGCGGCUUAUCAGCUUGUUGGUGGGGUAGUGGCUUACCAAGGCUUUGACGGGUAGCCGGCCUGAGAGGGUGACCGGCCACAUUGGGACUGAGAUACGGCCCAGACUCCUACGGGAGGCAGCAGUGGGGAAUAUUGCACAAUGGGCGGAAGCCUGAUGCAGCAACGCCGCGUGCGGGAUGACGGCCUUCGGGUUGUAAACCGCUUUCGCCUGUGACGAAGCGUGAGUGGCGGUAAUGGGUAAAGAAGCACCGGCUAACUACGUG
rnacentral:rRNA from 1 species